rnacentral:miRNA from 1 species
CUUGAGCUCACUUUGUAGCCCAAGCUGGUCUCAAACUCACAGAGAUCCUCCUGCCUCAGCCUCCCGAGUGCUGGGAU